rnacentral:rRNA from 1 species
CGUAGGUGCGAGCGUUGUCCGGAAUUACUGGGCGUAAAGAGCUCGUAGGUGGUUUGUCACGUCGUUUGUGUAAGUCCACAGCUUAACUGUGGGACUGCAGGCGAUACGGGCAUAACUUGAGUGCUGUAGGGGAGACUGGAAUUCCUGGUGUAGCGGUGAAAUGCGCAGAUAUCAGGAGGAACACCGAUGGCGAAGGCAGGUCUCUGGGCAGUAACUGACGCUGAGGAGCGAAAGCAUGGGUAGCGAACAGGAUU